GAGUCUGAUGCAGAGCUUGAACUCAUGAACCUGAGCAAGAUCACACGACCUGAGCUGAAGUCGGUCACUUAACUGACUGAGCCACCCAGGCACCCCAAGGGAGGCCUUGACCAUGGAAGGGACCACCAGGCAAGCAGUGCUGGUGGCCACAGGAGCUGACAGCAGCAUCCCACUGACAUUGUGCAAGGAAGUGGACCCUUGCAGGGGGAGGACCGCAGUCCUCCAGCUCCAGGAAAUGGAAUUCUGCCAACAGCUCUGUUCAAGCUUGGAGGGGAUGUUGAGCGCUAGGUGCAAACACUGCCUGUGACACACCGGAGAGAACCCUCAGCAUCACACUGGACUGCUGACCUGCAGAACUGGGACACAUGGAUGGCUGCUGUCGGUGAGCUCAUUCUCUUGUAUCGAAUUCCCUGGGAGUGGGUUUUCUAGAAUAAUCCAGAGGAAGAAAGACAGCCCCUGGGCCAGGACUCAGGAAGACAGGAUGACAACGUCACCUGACCACCGUGCAUGCGGAGAGAG